GCGCAGGAAAAGAAACCAACAGGGAUUGCCCCAGUAACGGCGAGUGAAGCGGCAACAGCUCAAAUUUGAAAUCUGGCUUCGGCCCGAGUUGUAGUUUGCAGAGGAAGCUUUAGGCGCGGCACCAUCUGAGUCCCCUGGAACGGGGCGCCAGAGAGGGUGAGAGCCCCGUAUAGAUGGACGCCUAGCCUGUGUAAAGCUCCUUCGACGAGUCGAGUAGUUUGGGAAUGCUGCUCAAAAUGGGAGGUAAAUUUCUUCUAAAGCUAAAUAUUGGCCAGAGACCGAUAGCGCACAAGUAGAGUGAUCGAAAGAUGAAAAGCACUUUGAAAAGAGGGUUAAAUAGCACGUGAAAUUGUUGAAAGGGAAGCGCUUGUGACCAGACUUGCGCCGGGCGGAUCAUCCGGUGUUCUCACCGGUGCACUCCGCCCGGCUCAGGCCAGCAUCGGUUCUCGUGGGGGGAUAAAGGCACCGGGAACGUAGCUCUUCCGGGAGUGUUAUAGCCCGGGGCGUAAUGCCCUCGCGGGGACCGAGGACCGCGCUUCUGCAAGGAUGCUGGCGUAAUGGUCAUCAGCGACCCGUCUUGAAACACGGACCAAGGAGUCAAGGUUUUGCGCGAGUGUUUGGGUGUAAAACCCGCACGCGUAAUGAAAGUGAACGUAGGUGAGAGCUUCGGCGCAUCAUCGACCGAUCCUGAUGUUCUCGGAUGGAUUUGA
rnacentral:rRNA from 1 species